GUCGUUCUCCUCCUGGAAGUUCAGGUGACAGCCUUUCUUUGGGUGGAGGAAGGUGGUGUUCUCCAUCCGACAGUCUUUGAACUUUUCCUGCCAGAGGUCUGCAGAGCACAGAGGGAUGUGGAAGGUGGAGGUGUUGAGGGAACGUACUUGUCAUGGAUGUACUCUCCCUCGCGGUGGAUCUGGUUGACCAGAGAGAAGUUGAAGUGGAAACGUUCGACCUUCUCUCUGUGAAACACUCGGACCUUGGACUCGUACUCUUCAUACUGCAUGUAUUUGAUCAUGUCGGGGAACCACACUCCCAGUCCAUGUGAAGACUCUCUCUGGCUCCCCCUUCGCCUUCCAGUUGGUGUCAUGAACCUGUCGCAGGAUCAUCCACGCCUCAUCGUGACGGGCAUUCUGAAAACAACACACAAACUUAUCUAUAAAUGUCUACGUAACCAAUAUUUCGCAAGUGUUCUGUGAAUCCUCUCAGGGUUUAUGAUUCCCACAUGCUCUGAAGCCAGAUGUGGCUGAGUAACAAUGUUCCCAUGAGGCCUGCCUCUUAUCAGAUGGGGGGAAUGUGUGAUAAUUUGGGGGUGUGUGAUACGAACAUGUUGGAGCAGCACUGCUGUAACAUACAAAUACAAUACCACAUGUGGUUACAGGUCUGACAAUGUCCUGGAUGAG